CGCGGCCCCCCACUCCGACGGCCGCCUCCCCGUGCGCCCCCCAGCGCUGACCCCGCGCCGCCGCCGCCGUCGGGAGAGACGGUGCCCAGGGAGGCCCUCGCAGCGGCCGCAGAGGCCCCGGAGGAGCCCGCCGCAGGUAUUGGGCUUGAGGGCAAGGAAGCAGAAGUGACUAAGGCCCUGACCCUCCCUUCAGGGAGUUCACCUUCAGGUCGAAGUGGCCCCCUUUCAGGGGCAUUUGCAUUCCGAGCCUGGCUCUGUAACUGGGAAGUGAAAGGCUCCCCAAGGCCCCGCCUCCUUACCCUGAAGCCAGGGGACUGCCCUCCGCCUGGGCUGCUCUGAUGCGUCACGUCCCGGCUUGAAUCCUAUCGGAUGUCUCUCUACAUUUUACGGGUGAAGUCCUCACACCUGCGAAGCCGGUUCACUCGUGCUGGUCUCCAGCCCUACCCACCGUGACCUGCCGCGUCUAGUCCUGAGGGAGAGAGAAAGAGAGGUGGAGAAACAUCGAUGGAAGACAGCUGGCUGCCUCUCGCAGGCGCACCCUACUGAGGACCUGGCCAGCAACCCACGAUGGAAAGGAAGCUUCCUUUUCAGUCCUGAAAAGGUUUGACUUGCAUUUGAAGGAGCAGUAGUUGGACAAUUUCCUGAAGAGAUGCAACCUUAUAAACAGUCCCACUGGCACGAGUUACUUGGAUGUCCCCAGAAUCGUUCGGGAUCACAGUGAAGAAGGGAUCGUGCACAAAGUCCUCUCGCAGGCCACACACAGGCCGCAGAUACUCCAUGUUGCUAUUGCCAUUCUUCUAGUCCAUGAAGGUCGACCAGGCCACUGAUGAACUCUGAGUGGGCUCAGCUCCUUGGAGGCGCCGCCUUGUGGUGCAGUGUCUUCCUGGGGACCUUGCAUAAACGGACAGGCAGUAGACAGGUCUGUAGACCACCUAUGAGGACCAACUCUUGGUCUCCAACCCAUUCUCUCUGUUGAAGCCGAAGAGGUCUUCCUAAAUUUGAAGCCAAUCAAAUUUGGUCAUUGGGAACAAAAGGGCUAUAGGUUGAAACUACUCUGUAUUAUGACUGAUGUUAUUAGUAUCAUUAUUAAAAUUACUUCAUAUCAGAACCA